rnacentral:rRNA from 1 species
CAGUCGCCGCGGUAAAACGUAGGUGGCGAGCGUUGUCCGGAAUCAUUGGGCGUAAAGGGAGCGCAGGCGGGCAUGUAAGUCUUUCUUAAAAGUGCGGGGUUCAACCCCGUGAUGGGAAAGAAACUACAUGUCUUGAGUACAGGAGAGGAAAGCGGAAUUCCCAGUGUAGCGGUGAAAUGCGUAGAUAUUGGGAGGAACACCAGUGGCGAAGGCGGCUUUCUGAACUGCAACUGACGCUGAGAGACGAAAGCUAGGGGAGCAAAUGGGAUUAGAUACCCCCGUAGUCCCUGUCUCUUAUACA